GCACGGAGUUAGCCGAUGCUUAUUCCUCAGAUACCGUCAUUGUGUUCUUCUCUGAGAAAAGGAGUUUACGACCCACGGGCCUUCCUCUUCCACGCGGUAUUGCUCCGUCAGGCUUUCGCCCAUUGCGGAAAAUUCCUCA
rnacentral:rRNA from 1 species